rnacentral:ncRNA from 2 species
UAAACUAUGCGUAACUGGCGGAGCAUGGGGAACCAUGAGGGAGCGCAUAGAUAAACAUGCCGUACGCCUGGGCAGAGGUA